rnacentral:misc_RNA from 1 species
CGAAAUGCGAUAAGUAAUGUGAAUUGCAGAAUUCAGUGAAUCAUCGAAUCUUUGAACGCACAUUGCGCCCCUUGGUAUUCCGAGGGGCAUGCCUGUUCGAGCGUCAUUACACCACUCAAGCUAUGCUUGGUAUUGGGUGCCGUCCUUAGUUGGGCGCGCCUUAAAGACCUCGGCGAGGCCUCACCGGCUUUAGGCGUAGUAGAAUUUAUUCGAACGUCUGUCAAAGGAGAGGACUUCUGCCGACUGAAACCUUUUAUUUUUCUAGGUUGACCUCGGAUCAGGUAGGGAUACCCGCUGAACUUAAGC